rnacentral:tRNA from 1 species
AACUUUAUAGUUUAUAAAAAAAUAUUAAAUUGCAAGUUUAAAGAUAAAUUUAUUUUUAAAGUUU